rnacentral:rRNA from 1 species
UAGAUCAGAAGCGAGAAUGUUGACAUGAGUAGCGACAAACAGGGUGAGAAACCCUGUCGCCGAAAGUCCAAGGGUUCCUGCUUAAAGCUAAUCUGAGCAGGGUAAGCCGGCCCCUAAGGCGAGGCCGAAAGGCGUAGUCGAUGGGAACCAGGUUAAUAUUCCUGGGCCAGGAGGAUGUGACGGAUCUCGAGGAUUGUCUGCCCUUAUCGGAUUGGGUGGGCCGUUUAGAGGUUCCUGGAAAUAGCCCUCCAUCAGACCGUACCCUAAACCGACACAGGUGGACUGGUAGAGUAUACCAAGGCGCUUGAGAGAACCACGUUAAAGGAACUCGGCAAAAUGCUCCCGUAAGUUCGCGAGAAGGGAGCCCCGUCUGUACGCAAGUAUGGGCGGGGGGCACAAACUAGGGGGUGGCGACUGUUUACUUAAAACACAGGGCUGUGCGAAGCCGUAAGGCGACGUAUACAGUCUGACGCCUGCCCGGUGCUGGAAGAUUAAGAGGAGGGGUGCAAGCUCUGAAUUGAAGUCCCAGUAAACGGCGGCCGUAACUAUAACGGUCCUAAGGUAGCGAAAUUCCUUGUCGGGUAAGUUCCGACCUGCACGAAUGGCGUAACGAUCUCCCCGCUGUCUCUAACGUGGACUCAGCGAAAUUGAACUGUGUGUCAAGAUGCACACUACCCGCGGUUAGACGGAAAGACCCCAUGAACCUUUACUCCAGCUUCGCACUGGUAUCAGGAUUGUGAUGUGCAGGAUAGGUGGUAGGCAUCGAAGCGGGGACGCCAGUUCCCGUGGAGCCUCCCUUGAGAUACCACCCUUCGCCAUCUUGAUAUCUAACCGCGGCCCGUUAUCCGGGUCCGGGACCCUGCAUGGUGGGGAGUUUGACUGGGGCGGUCGCCUCCCAAACAGUAACGGAGGCGCGCGAUGGUUGGCUCAGACCGGUCGGAAAUCGGUCGUUGAGUGCAAUGGCAGAAGCCAGCCUGACUGCAAGACUGACAAGUCGAGCAGAGACGAAAGUCGGUCAUAGUGAUCCGGUGGUCCCAAGUGGGAGGGCCAUCGCUCAACGGAUAAAAGGUUCUCUGGGGAUAACAGGCUGAUGAUGCCCAAGAGUCCAUAUCGACGGCAUCGUUUGGCACCUCGAUGUCGGCUCAUCUCAUCCUGGGGCUGGAGCAGGUCCCAAGGGUAUGGCUGUUCGCCAUUUAAAGAGGUACGUGAGCUGGGUUUAGAACGUCGUGAGACAGUUCGGUCCCUAUCUGCCGUGGGUGCAGGAGACUUGAGAAGAGUUGACCCUAGUACGAGAGGACCGGGUUGAACGAACCACUGGUGGACCAGUUAUCGUGCCAACGGUAGUGCUGGGUAGCUAUGUUCGGACAGGAUAACCGCUGAAGGCAUCUAAGCGGGAAGCCCCCUUCAAAACAAGGUCUCCCUUGAGGGCCGUGGAAGACCACCACGUCGAUAGGCCAGAGGUGUAAGCGCAGCAAUGCGUUCAGCUGACUGGUACUAAUUGCCC